rnacentral:rRNA from 1 species
UACGUAGGGGGCGAGCGUUGUCCGGAGUUACUGGGCGUAAAGCGCACGCAGGCGGUCUGCUAAGUUUGGAGUGACAGUUGGUGGCUUAACUGCCAAAGUGCUUCGAAAACUGACAGACUUGAGGGCUUCAGAGGGACACGGAAUUCCGGGUGGAGUGGUGAAAUGCGCAGAGAUCCGGAGGAACACCAAAGGCGAAGGCAGCAUCCUGGGAAGUUCCUGACGCUCGGGUGCGAAAGCCAGGGGAGCGAACGGG